rnacentral:rRNA from 1 species
ACAAGGAUUCCCCGAGUACGGCGAGCGAAAGGGGAGGAGCCCAGCGCUGAAUCCCCCGGUCCUGCAGGGCCGGCGGGAAAUGUAGCGUAUAGGAGGGUCGAGUACUCUCGCGGCGCGGCGGCCGGUCCAAGUCCCUCUUGAAGGGGGCCCAGCUCCUGAGAAGGUGCCAGGCCUGUGGGACGGUUGCCGCUCGCGAGACGACCGUCUCCUUGGAGUAGGGUUGCUCGAAAGUGCAACUUGAAGUGGGUGGUAAAUUCCAUCUAAGGCUAAAUACAACCACGAGACCGAUAGCGAACAAGUACCGUGAGGGAAAGUUGAAAAGGACUUUGAAGAGAGAGUUCAAGAGUGCGUGAAACCGUUCCGGGGUAAACGGGUGGAGCCCUAAACUCCGACCGGAGAGAUUCAGUGUCCGUUCGUUCCGCCGCACGCGUGCGCUUCGGGUGGGUACGCGGGUCGCGUUCGCGCGACCCGCCGACCCGGCGUCGUUUAUGCGACGGGCGACGGUGCGCACUUCUCUCCCAGUAGGACGCCGCGACCCGUCGGGAUGCAGUCGGCUCUACGGCCCGGGUGUGCUGACCGCGACCCGCUCCUCACGGAGCGAGGCCGCGAGCCCCCGGUGUUCCCGAGCCGACCCCGACGGUGUUUUCGUUACGGACCACUCCCGCUGUCGCUUUUUGCGUAGCGCCCGUGCCCCGCGCGAGCGUGUGCCCGUCAUACGUCCGUGGACCCUCGUGUCCGCGGCGUUCGGGCGCCGCGUUGUCCGCGCGGGGUCUUCUCGGGCUGGGAGCCGUGUCUCGUSGGCGGCGCGCUUAAGAGCGACCCACCCGGCCCYUCUUGAAACACGGACCAAGGAGUYUAACAUGUGCGCGAGUCAUUGGGUGCCACUAAACCCAAAGGCGAAUUGAAAGAAAAGGCGGGCCGUCUCCUUCGGGGGGCGCCUGCUUUCGGGAAGAUGGGGCGGCGCUCGCGUCUCCCCCGCACUCCCGGGGCGUCUCAUCCUAGCCCGUCAAACGGCAAGGCGAGGCGCACCAAGAGCGCACACGUUGGUACCCGAAAGAUGGUGAACUAUGCCUGGUGAGGACGAAGUCAGGGGAAACCCUGAUGGAGGUCCGUAGCGAUUCUGACGUGCAAAUCGAUCGUCGGAACUAGGUAUAGGGGCGAAAGACUAAUCGAACCAUNUAGUAGCUGGUUCCCUCCGAAGUUUCCCUCAGGAUAGCUAGUGCUCGGAGACUCGAAUCCCAUCCGGUAAGCGAAUGAUUAGAGGUCUUGGGUUCGAAACGUUCUCAACCUAUUCUCAAACUUUAAAUGGGUGGGACCCGCGGCUUGCUUAACGGCUGAAGCCGCGGUCUCGGAUCGAGAGUAUUUAGUGGGCCGUUUUUGGUAAGCAGAACCGGCGCUGUGGGAUGAACCAAACGCCGGGUUAAGGCGCCUAAAAGAUGCUCAUGUGACACCAUGAAAGGUGUUGGUUGCUUAAGACAGCAGGACGGUGGCCAUGGAAGUCGGCAUCCGCUAAGGAGUGUGUAACAACUCACCUGCCGAAGCAACUAGCCCUGAAAAUGGAUGGCGCUGAAGCUUCUUGCCUAUACCCGGCCGCCGGGGCAGUCGCGCGCGGUUUCAUCGCCGCGCGUCGCGAAGCCCCGGCGAGUAGGAGGGCGCGACGGUGUGCGCAGAAGGGUCUGGGCGUGAGCCUGCCUGGAGCCGCCGUCGGUGCAGAUCUUGGUGGUAGUAGCAAAUAUUCAAGAGAGGACCUUGAGGGCUGAGGUGGAGAAGGGUUCCGUGUGAACAGCCGUUGCACACGGGUCAGUCGAUCCUAAGCCCUAGGAGAAAUCCGAUGACGAUGGUCGCGGGAUUUUUGUGAAAUUUUUUUAAUCACCCGUCGGGGAGGAGAUGGGCUSUCWUANGACCUUUCCCGCAUUGUYGAGAUGAAAUUGRAAACCGACGUGUUCGCUACAGUACGGUCCGACAUAAAACAACGUGUGACAACGCUCACUCAGUGCGUCCGCCUCUUCUCGAGUGCGUACGGCGUCGGGUUUGUGUGUGUCYGUCGUUGAAAAAAGUAGURCCGUCGACUGCGACUCGGUUUUUGCGAUUUUUUAUCUCGGGCGACGUCGUUCRCAGCWGGGUCUUUGCCCACCCCAUGGWCGGUUUUUUAAAAUCAGCAUUUCUCACCCCGUCCGUCGGGCGAAAGGGAAUCCGUUUCCUAUUACGGAACCUGGUUGCGGAACCGCACCACGAUCUUCGUAUUGACGCGGUAACGCGAAUGAGCCUAGAGACGCCGUCUGGAGCCUCGGGAAGAGUUUUCUUUUCUCUAUAAGCGUUCGGGUUCCAUGGAAUCCUCUCGCAGGGAGAUAUGGAAUGGAACGCGAAGAGCACCGCAGUUGCUGUGGUGUCCGGGGAUUCUCGUCGGCCCUUGAAAAUCUAGGUGAAGGUCACGUGGAGGUGUCGCACCAGAUCGUACCCAUAUCCGCAGCAGGUCUCCAAGGUC